rnacentral:rRNA from 1 species
AGCGAACAUUGGCGGUAGGCUUAACACAUGCAAGUCGAGCGAGGCGCAAUAGUCGAGCGGCGAACGGGUGAGUAAUACAUGGGAAUCUACCUCGAAGUGGGGGAUAACAGCCAGAAAUGGCUGCUAAUACCGCAUGAUCCGGGAACGGGAAAGCGCGCUGCGCUUUGAGAUGAGCCCAUGGCUGAUUAGCUAGUUGGUGGGGUAAAGGCCUACCAAGGCGACGAUCAGUAGCUGGUCUGAGAGGAUGAUCAGCCACACUGGAACUGAGACACGGUCCAGACUCCUACGGGAGGCAGCAGUGGGGAAUCUUGCGCAAUGGGGGCAACCCUGACGCAGCCAUACCGCGUGUGCGAUGAAGGUCUUCGGAUUGUAAAGCACUUUCAGUAGGGACGACGAUGACGGUACCUACAGAAGAAGUCACGGCUAACUUCGUGCCAGCAGCCGCCGUAA